rnacentral:rRNA from 1 species
GAUGAACGCUGGCGGCGUGCUUAACACAUGCAAGUCGAACGAGAAGUGGAGACGGAAACCUUCGGGCGGAAGACUUUACUUCGAGUGGCGGACGGGUGAGUAACGCGUGGGUAACCUGCCUCAUACAGGGGGAUAACAGUUGGAAACGACUGUUAAUACCGCAUAAGACCACAGCACCGCAUGGUGCGGGGGUAAAAACUCCGGUGGUAUGAGAUGGACCCGCGUUCGAUUAGCCAGUUGGCGGGGUAACGGCCCACCAAAGCGACGAUCGAUAGCCGAUCUGAGAGGAUGACCGGCCACAUUGGGACUGAGACACGGCCCAAACUCCUACGGGAGGCAGCAGUGGGGAAUAUUGCACAAUGGGGGAAACCCUGAUGCAGCGACGCCGCGUGAGUGAAGAAGUAUGUCGGUAUGUAAAGCUCUAUCAGCAGGGAAGAAAAUGACAGUACCUGAGUAAGAAGCCCCGGCUAACUACGUG